CAAAUUUCUUUAAUGAGACUUGGUUUCUUGUUCCUCAUUAAAAAAAAUUUCCCGCGCGUGAACGCAGAGUUACGUGCACUUACGAGCACUUUGAAAGUGCAGUUUAGUUCGUGUUGUAAAAUCACCGGUGCGUUAUGGAGUCGCCUCUCACGUCUUCUCAUUCAUCCCGGAGCAAAUUUGCGCAUGCAAACGAGCGUCGAACGUCUGAAGUGCCGAAUUCGACGACGGACGGUCUUGACGUAUCAAUACCGGUAUUAAUCACUCGUAUUUAAUCACGUGACACGCCACUCAUGAUCUAUACAUCCAUCAGUCGCCUCGCGUCCGAUCGGACAAACGGCAUUUGUCGACGGACGCAAUCUGUACAUGCGUCACGUAAAUACAUUUCGUCAAAGAGCGAUAUCGAAACGAGCUGAAUUUGAGCACCGAUUUAUCGCUGUAUCAAAUCGCAGCUAAUUACAUCAUAAAUACUAAAGCGUCCUUAUUAACGUUUCGAGAUGCCGCGAAGAAAUUUUCACGAACCGCGCGAAGUUGGGCGAGUGACGCGUCACGCGAAUCAGCUGCUAAGUUCACGUCGUUGCUGCCGGCAAGUAAGCCGCCUCUGUGUUGACGGUGCGUCCGUCGCGACCUUGUUUUUUCGCUUCGUUCCGAGAGUUUUUCGUGAGUGAAUCAGUAUCAAAGGUGCGCGUCUAAUGUCGAAUUCAACGACGGGCGAUCGCGUUAAUGUGUCACGGUAAUCGUAACACUCGGCCCGUCGCGAUUAGCGUGUCUCUCUCGUUCUAACCCUCACGUUGCGUCGCGUCGCGUCGCGGUUCGCGGGUCGAGGGGGGAGUGCGACAUUCAUCGAAGGGAUUCUCCGCUUUCCGCUCUCGCGUGUCAUCCGGAGUGUCAUCGCGAAGCCUACGGCGAGAGAAAGCGGCGAUGGACCGCGUCGCUUAGAUGCCAUUAGACAAGCGAUUCCACUCGGCCGCAACGCUACGUUCGCGUAGCGAUUCGCCGCAGUGUCGCCACCAUGUUCGCGUCGUUGGCGCGUGAUCUGACGGGUUUUCGCGGGAAAGCGCGUCGUAAUGAAUGCCGGGAAGUGUCGAAGAGAUCUAUCCACGGGCGGGCACGUUUCGGUGCGCGUCAAUUAAUCCAUCCGAUCGAAAUUGCAUGCGUUUUCCGACACCUCUCCGUCGGGCUCUCCGAUAUCGAUCGCUAAUCUCGCUCGGAAUGACGUAUUGACGCGCGCGUGUCGCAUUAUUCCGUGAGUUUCGCAUUAUUUGCGGGUAUAGGUGAUCGAGUGUCGCGAGUGUAUUGCGUGCGCGUCGAUGAACGACGAGGGACGAUCGCCGUAACGGAUUAAUCGAGAGAGAGAUGACUGCCGCACACGAUAUACGCCGUUGACGGAUGAUAGCGGCGGGAUGAUACGGCGAAACAGAGAAAGCGGCGGAUUCGGCGUGGCGUAAUUGGCGUCAUGAAGAGGAAAACGAGAGGACGGAAGGUCGGUGUAGAUGCUGGAAGUAUCUCCGUGGCCGUGCUCGGAAGGCAGCCGCUUCUGCUGUUUAUACAUGUGCGGUUGCAGACAUAACAGUCGUUAGAUCUAUGUAGUUCGUACUCCGCUGCUGCGCGUCAUAUCGGUGAGUGACAACUGAACUUUAAGUAUAAUUUAGAGAUGCAAUUAUGGGUCUAAACGUGCUAACUUUAUGCGAUACUGUUGGCCAACUUUGAUCGCUGAUAAUUAUUCCAACCUCAACAUUAUCGUAUUUUCGACUACAACAUCCAGAAUUUAUGUAGUAUACAUAUGUAUAUAUAUAUAUAUAUAGUA
rnacentral:lncRNA from 13 species